rnacentral:tRNA from 4 species
GGGUGGUUAGCUCAGCGGUAGAGCACUGCCUUCACACGGCAGGGGUCACUGGUUCGAUCCCAGUACCACCCACCA